rnacentral:rRNA from 1 species
UAAGGAAUAUUGGACAAUGGAGGCAACUCUGAUCCAGCCAUGCCGCGUGAAGGAAUAAGGCCCUAUGGGUUGUAAACUUCUUUUAGACGGGACAAAACCCCUUUACGUGUAAAGGGUUGAUGGUACUGUCAGAAUAAGCAUCGGCUAACUUCGUGCCAGCAGCCGCGGUAAUACGAAGGAUGCAAGCGUUAUCCGGAAUUAUUGGGGUUAAAGGGUGCGUAGGCGGACUAAUAAGUCAGUGGUGAAAGCCUGCAGCUUAACUGCAGAAUUGCCAUUGAUACUGUUAGUCUUGAGUACAGUUGAGGUAGGCGGAAUGUGUCAUGUAGCGGUGAAAUGCUUAGAUAUGACACAGAACACCGAUUGCGAAGGCAGCUUGCUAAGCUGUAACUGACGCUGAGGCACGAAAGCGUGGGGAGCAAACA